CCUACGGGGUGCAGCAGUGGGGAAUUUUCCGCAAUGGGCGAAAGCCCGACGGAGCAAUGCCGCGUGGAGGUAGAAGGCCCACGGGUCGUGAACUUCUUUUCCCGGAGAAGAAGCAAUGACGGUGUCUGGGGAAUAAGCAUCGGCUAACUCUGUGCCAGCAGCCGCGGUAAUACAGAGGAUGCAAGCGUUAUCCGGAAUGAUUGGGCGUAAAGCGUCUGUAGGUGGCUUUUUAAGUCCGCCGUCAAAUCCCAGGGCUCAACCCUGGACAGGCGGUGGAAACUACCAAGCAGGAGUGCGGUAGGGGCAGAGGGAAUUUCCGGUGGAGCGGUGAAAUGCGUAGAGGUCGGAAAGAACACCAACGGCGGAAGCACUCUGCUGGGCCGACACUGACACUGAGAGACGAAAGCUAGGGGAGCGAAUGGGAUUAGAUACCCCAGUAGUC
rnacentral:rRNA from 1 species